GAAAUGCCGACGUGCAGCGAUUUAAACAUUUUUGAAAAUGCCAAAUGUUAUUUACAACGUUAUUGAAUGAGUAUGGAUGGUUCGGGCAUGUAAUUUAGGCUUAUUCUAUAGGCGCAUGAGAGAUCAUUUUGUGGUGCUGUACCCUGGAAGAUCUAUUCCAUCCGUGUCUACAAUUAAAUCUGUUGUUGAGAGAUUCCAAAAAGAUGGAAAUGCCAAUCUAGGUUUGGUGCCCGUUCAUUACCCAAGUAGAGCUUUUCCAGAGAAAGUAAGACUAGCGAUUUGCAUGUCCGUUAUUGAAAAAUUCAGAAUUU
rnacentral:lncRNA from 1 species